UGAUUUUGGGAUGUGAAGUGCUCUUUAAAUCUUUCUUUUAUUAGGCACUUCAUUCAUCAACAUAUACUGAAACCUUAUAUUGAUGCAUUGCAGGACGGGUAGGUCAGAUAAUCAAGUCAAGCUCUGGUUGUAUACAUGUUAAAAUGAUGGUCACUUUGUCCCAAAUCUUACCCUUGGUGCUCCAGUUAUCGAGAGUCUGAGAAAGCAUACAAAGGCAUAUCUGGACUGCCACCUAAUGGUCACUAACCCCCUUGAUUAUGUGGAGCCACUAGGCAAAGCUGGUGCUUCAGGCUUUACUUUCCAUGUUGAGGCAUCUAGAGGUGGGGUUUACUUUGAGCUCUAGAUCCAUUUGGUUGUCGUAACUGGUUUUCUACUGAAAUAUUUGGCGGGAAAGUAUUUGAGGGAGAAUCACUUUGUGAUAUUUGAUAAGUUAAUGAUAGUAGUUGUUAGGCGUGGCAAUUUCAGCCCAUAUU